GCAAUCUGAAGCUCGCGCGCGAAAACCGGACGGUGUUUCUGAGCCUGCUGGGGAUUUCCUGGCUGUGGUUCGUGGGCGCGACCUUUCUGUCUUCCUUUUUCAGCUUCGCGAAAAACGUGCUG
rfam:Burkholderia sp. OLGA172 chromosome 1, complete sequence.